rnacentral:rRNA from 1 species
UCCGUAGGUGAACCUGCGGAAGGAUCAUUACAGAAUGAAAAGUGCUUAACUGCAUUUUUUCUUACACAUGUGUUUUUCUUUUUUUGAAAACUUUGCUUUGGUAGGCCUUCUAUAUGGGGCCUGCCAGAGAUUAAACUCAACCAAAUUUUAUUUAAUGUCAACCGAUUAUUUAAUAGUCAAAACUUUCAACAACGGAUCUCUUGGUUCUCGCAUCGAUGAAGAACGCAGCGAAAUGCGAUAAGUAAUAUGAAUUGCAGAUAUUCGUGAAUCAUCGAAUCUUUGAACGCACAUUGCGCCCUUUGGUAUUCCAAAGGGCAUGCCUGUUUGAGCGUCAUUUCUCCCUCAAACCCUCGGGUUUGGUGUUGAGCGAUACGCUGGGUUUGCUUGAAAGAAAGGCGGAGUAUAAACUAAUGGAUAGGUUUUUUCCACUCAUUGGUACAAACUCCAAAACUUCUUCCAAAUUCGACCUCAAAUCAGGUAGGACUACCCGCUGAACUUAAGCAUAUCAAUAAGCGGAGGAGGAA